rnacentral:rRNA from 1 species
GAGGAAGGUGGGGACGACGUCAAGUCAUCAUGCCCCUUACGUCUAGGGCUGCACACAUGCUACAAUGGGCGGUACAGAGGGCUGCUAAACCGCGAGGUGGAGCCAAUCCCUAAAACCGCUCUCAGUUCAGAUUGCAGGCCGCAACUCGCCUGCAUGAAGUUGGAGUUGCUAGUAAUCCCGGAUCAGCAUUGCCGGGGUGAAUACGUUCCCGGGCCUUGUACACGCCGCCCGUCAAACCACGAAAGUCGGCAACACCCGAAGCCGGUGGCCUAACCGUAAGGAAGGAGCCGUCGAAGGUGGGGUCGGUGAUUGGGGUUAAGUCGUAACAAGGUAGCCGUAA